UACGGAGGAUGCAAGCGUUAUCCGGAAUGAUUGGGCGUAAAGCGUCCGCAGGUGGCAAUGUAAGUCUGCUGUCAAAGCGUCUGGCUCAACCAGAUAAAGGCAGUGGAAACUACAUAGCUAGAGUAAGGUAGGGGUAGAGGGAAUUCCUGGUGUAGCGGUGAAAUGCGUAGAGAUCAGGGAGAACACCGGUGGCGAAAGCGCUCUGCUGGACCUUAACUGACACUGAGGGACGAAAGCUAGGGGAGCGAAUGGG
rnacentral:rRNA from 1 species